AAAAUUAAUUAUAGAUUUUUGGGUUGUUCAAAAUGUGUUUGUAGUUUCUAAGAGAACGUUGAAUCAUAUUAUUCAUCACUUUAUUUCAUGACAAUAUGGGUAUGCAAUGUAUGAAUUGUUUAUUUUUACCAGCGUCUAUCUUCUAUAAGACAAGAGUUUCAACGUGAGAUAUGCUAACAACGUUAAAACUAAAGAUAAUACAAAAUUAAAU
rnacentral:sRNA from 1 species